rnacentral:lncRNA from 10 species
AAGAUCUUACACAUGCUUGAGAUUGGAGAAAGCCCACCACUCAGAUCCCCAUAGAAAGAAGGAAAAUCACAAUGGAUUUCAUCAUGGCCAUCAUCUCAGAUAUAAAAAAGAAAUGUUCAAUUUCCCAGCCUCCUCUGUGACCAAGUUCAUCCUAACAAUAUACGAUGGAGAUUCUGUUUGGGAGUAUCUGAGAAGACAGGAAUCACACGUGAUACCUGGAGCUGCAGCAGCCGUCUUAUGACCUAAGGCAACAAACAGCAAACUAAGCAGAAAAGAGAAUGUUAGAGGGAGCCUGGAUCCUUCAUGGCAUUGUUGAGCUGCUAGACCACCCUAAGGCAGCCCACCUCCAUUCUCUUUUUAUUAAGAAAAUCAUUAAUGUCUGUAUGGUUUAGGCCACAGUCACUUGCUGCUAACAUCAUUCCACACUGGUACAGGAGGCUUUUCCCCUCCCUAGGCUGGGAUGCCUCAACAUCAGAAGCUCAGAAGUAUAGCCUCACCGUCCUGGGUCUUUAUGGUUCCCAACCUUAAGCCAGGACAGAACUUGGUCCACCUCGUGGUCACACAAGUUCCACUGCUUCCACCUCUGCCACAGCUAGUAAGCAGCUGGUUUACUUACUAUGCCUAGUAAGUAUAUAAACCUGCUGAAACCCCAGGUGGGUUAGCUGGAGUUUCCUCCACUUCCAAUCACCUGCAUAGAACCACAAUCCCAGCACUGACUUCAUGACAGCAGCCUGAGGUGAGACUGCACUCACCCUCUCUGUUCCACUCCCACUUUGAAAUCCUAGAUACCAAACAGGCUACCUUCUCCCCGCCUCCCACAGGCCUCCAGCCUCAGCCAACACUCACUGCUGUGGAACUCUGGUCCUAGACUUCCCACUUUUCCUUUAGCACAGCUAUGCAGCUCUAACUUUUGUUUCUAAGUUGUCCCUAAUUUGUGUAUGUAUGGAACAGAACUUUCCACAUCUACUCAUUUUGACACCUUGCCUGAAAGCUAUCCCAAUGCAUUUUUAACUGUUAUAUUUGGGCUUUUUACAAAUAGGCCUACUCUUGUAAAAAUUUAGAAGCACAGAGAAAUGUAAAAAUAAAAAUCAACAUUAACCCGCCACCACUAUUAACAUUAAGAUACAUUUCUUUCUAGUCUUUUUCUAUGCAUAUAUAUAAACAUACUGUUUUAUAAAAUUGUGGCAUACUUAUAGACUGGGUUAUAUCUUACUUUUUUGUUUAAUAUAAACAUUUUCAUAUAUAUGUAAUAUCGAUCUAUCAUAAUUUCCUGACUCUCCUAUUAUGGAUAUGUUAUUGUUUUUAAUUUGUACCCACCAUACAUAAUGUUGCAUUAUAAAUAUUUCAUUAUUUCCUUAGGAUGAAGUCCUAGAAGUAGGCUUACCAAGACAAAGGGUAUGAACAUUUAAACAUAUAGAUACAUAUUGCCAAAGCAUUCUCCCAACAAAUGUUUAUCCUCUCAAAUUCUGAGUUUAAUAAUGUUUCAAACUUGCCAAUCUGAUAAACAAGAGUCAGUGUUCUUUUAAUUUACAUUUCUUUGAUAGUCAUAAGUUUGAACAUUUUUUAUGAUAAUUAGCCAUUUGUCUUUCCUUCCAGUGCAUUUUAAAUAACAUUAUAUUUACAACUUUGCAGAAACAGCUAUUCCACAAAUUAAAUCAAAAUACCUCUUUGUGCAUAGUAAGUAUAUAAACCAGCCUCAAAAUUGUCCAUGUUUAUAUCUGUUUUAUAAUAGAUAUCUCUAUUUUUCAGGUUGAAAUGUCGUCUUCAUUUUACUUUGGGUUCAAAUUCUAACUGGACUCAGUCUUUAGGUAAUUUACAGCCAAAGGUGUGGGAAUGUAGAGAAGACAUGUAUAUGAACACAAGUGACAAAAUUACGUGUGUGCGUGUGUGUGCAUACAUGUUUAUGUGUAUGUAUAGUCAACAACAACAUAUGGGUCAAUGGCAGACCACAUAUAUGAAGAUGGUCCCAUAAGAUUAUGAUGGAGCUGAAAAAUGCCUAUCACCUACUGAUGUCAUAGCUGCCAUAAAGUCACAGGGCAAUGCAUUACUCACCUGUUUAUGGUGAUGCUGGUAUAAACCAACCCACUAUGCUGCCAGCCCUAUAAAAGUCUAGCACAUACAAUUAUAUAUAGUACGUAAUACUUGAUAAUAAAUAUGUUACUGGUGUAUGCCUUUACUAUACUAUAAUCAUUAGAGUAUAUUCCUUCUGCUUUUUUUAAAAAAACAAAACAAAACAAAAAGAACUGUAAACAGCCUCAGGCAGGUCCUUUAGGAGGUAUCCAGAAGAAGGCAUUGCGGCCAUAAGAGACGACAGCUCCAUGUGUGUUACUGCCCCUAAACACCUUCCAGUGGGACAAGAUGUGGGGGUAGAAGACAGUGAUAUGGAUGAUCCUGACCCUGUGUAGGUCUAAGCUAAUGAGUAUGUUUAUGUCUUUGUUUUUAGAAAAAAAAGUUUUGAAAGUAAAAAAUAAAUUUAAAAACAAAAAAAAAAGCUUAUAGGAAAGGAUAUAAAGAAAUAUUUUUGUGCAGCUAUACCAUGCGUUUGUGUUUUCAGCUGUGUUAUUACAAAUGAGUCCAAAAGUUUUUAAAUUUUUAAUUUUAUAAAGUUACAGUGAGCCAAGGUUAAUUUAUUGUUGAAGAAAAAAAUUUUAAAUUAACUUAGUGUAGCUUAAAUGUACAGUGUUUAUAAAGUCUACAGUCAUAUGCAAUCAUGUCCUGCGCCUUCAUAUUCCCUUAUCACUGACUCACUGACACCCAGGGCAACUCCUAGUCCUGUAAGUUCCAUUCACGGUAAGUGCCCUAUACAGGUGCACCAUUUUUAUAUUUUAUACUGUAUUUUCUCUGUACCUUUUCUAUGUUCCCACGUGUGUAGAUACGCAAAUACUUACCACUGUGUUACAAUUGCCUACAGUAUUCAGAACAGUAACAGGUGUUACCAGUUUGUAGCCUAGGAGCAAUAGGCUCUACCAUAUAGCCUAGGUGUGUAGCAGGUGGUACCAUCUAGGUUUAGUAAGUACACUCUAUGAGGUUCGCAUAUCAUUAAAUCAUUUAACAACACGUUUCUCAAAAUGCAUCUCCAUUGUUAAUCGACACAUGACUGUAUAUAUACAACACGCACGCAAAUAAUUCAUAUGUAAUUAACCACAGGCGUAAACGACUUUUAAUCUGUGUACUUCAAUGUAAUUAUGUAUUUCCAUGAUCUCUGGUCAUGUACAAAUUUGCUUUGAAAUCCAUUAAAAAUUGCAUUUAAAAAUG